rnacentral:rRNA from 1 species
AUUGAACGCUGGCGGCAGGCCUAACACAUGCAAGUCGAACGAGUGGCGGACGGGUGAGUAAUGUUUGGGAAUCUAGCUUAUGGAGGGGGAUAACUACGGGAAAAUGUAGCUAAUACCGCGUACCAUAGUAUGAGCCCAAGUGGGAUUAGGUAGUGGGUGAGGUAAAGGCUCACCAAGCCGACGAUCUCUAGCUGGUCUGAGAGGAUGAUCAGCCACACUGGGACUGAGACACGGCCCAGACUCCUACGGGAGGCAGCAGUGGGGAAUAGUGCACAAUGGGCGCAAGCCUGAUGCAGCCAUGCCGCGUGUAUGAAGAAGGCCUUAGGGUUGUAAAGUACUUUCAGUGGGGAGGCGUUACCCACAGAAGAAGCACCGGCUAACUCCGUGCCAGCAGCCGCGGUAAUUC